GAGGACCAUUACUGACACAUUCGCCAUCUUAGAAAAUUGAGUUUCCAAAAAUGCAUACAUAUACCAACCUUAAGUUGUUACAGUUUUGGUCGUUUCCAGCUACAGAAUCUGGACAGAAUUGGAUAUAUGUAGUUAGAGUCAUAUAACUAUCGUCAACAACUCUACCUAGGCUUCCUGGAGAUAUUUUAGAGAUGCUAAACAAUUAAACUGGACUCGGUGUAUAAACCAGAUGGUUCCAUGUAGAGAAUGAAUUGUAAUUGGACGAAGAUGAAGGAGGAAAGAGAUAUACGUCAUACUUACUUGGUAACUUCUCCGUCUUUCACUGUAAGUACCUGAGGCAACUUCUUGAUAAUCUUGGGGGCACAUUCUACGUCACUGUCUGAUGGGAAGUAAUCAGUCUCACUUAUAGUCUACAAGUAAAAAAGAAAAUUGCAUUCUUUGCAGCAUCUGUCCUGCGAGUUAGACUGUCUAAACUGUUCUAUACAUAACUCAACAAGCUCAGUGCCAGGCAGGUACCAAGAAAAUAGAUUAAUGAGUCAAAAUAACCUGUGAUGGCAUUGGAGAUAUGAUUAAUUAAGAUUAUCAAGAGUGCGUGUAACAGUGGAGGCGUGAUUAUGUACGACUGUGCCAAUAAACAUAAAUAUUAUGAGCUGGCCGGAACGCCACAUUAUCAAAAUUUACGUUGGGAAAAUGAAGUAAAUAUAUUUACUUGACGUGAAAUUUGGAAAAACUUAGGUUAAUAAACAAUUUGUACAAUCAACUGUUAAUAAAGAUACCUACUGUUAUUUUAUUAUUAAUAGAGAAUUAAUAAUAUAAGGUAAAACUUUAAAAAGGGUAAACCCUGUAGUUGGCUGUAUACUAGGGUGGAUCGAAAAAUCGAAGUUUCAAAAACUGUUUUGGAAUAGUGCGCAAAAGUUACCAAUUGGUAUUACAAACCUAAUCUUUAUUUGCGAUUUUUCAAAAAAAUUGCAUCUUCUGCCCUCUACCGGGGGUUGAAAAAUAAAAAAAAAUAAAAAAUACGAACAUAUGAUUUUAAAUGAAAAGUUAAGUAAUAAGUACAUGUUAUUAUUAUAAAAAUGAUAUCCAAUCUAAA